CCUACGGGUGGCUGCAGUGGGGAAUAUUGGGCAAUGGGCGCAAGCCUGACCCAGCAACGCCGCGUGAAGGAUGAAGGUUUUCGGAUUGUAAACUUCUGUCGCGAGGGACGAAGAAUGACGGUACCUCUUGAAUAAGCCACGGCUAACUACGUGCCAGCAGCCGCGGUAAUACGUAGGUGGCAAGCGUUGUCCGGAUUUACUGGGUGUAAAGGGCGUGUAGCCGGGCUGGCAAGUCAGAUGUGAAAUCCCGUGGCUCAACCACGGAACUGCAUUUGAAACUGUCGGUCAUGAGUAUCGGAGAGGCAGGCGGAAUUCCUAGUGUAGCGGUGAAAUGCGUAGAUAUUAGGAGGAACACCAGUGGCGAAGGCGGCCUGCUGGACGACAACUGACGGUGAGGCGCGAAAGCGUGGGGAGCAAACAGGAUUAGAUACCCCAGUAGUC
rnacentral:rRNA from 1 species